GGAAGGGGAGGCUAGGGGGAGAAACUGGGCUAGGACCCCGAGAGAGAGCUUCAGAGGGUCACCACCAGCCUCCCCGGACCCCACACACAUCCUCCAGGAGAUCUGAGAAAAGACUCUCCUCCAGCAGGAGAAGCGUUCAGGAUUGGGAGGGGGGAGUACAGAAGACAGGAAACCUGGGACCCUUAGCGAGAAGCAGGCAGCAAAGGGGGCGCGCAAAGUGCUGGUGAAGAGAGGCUAGAAGGCUGAGGGUGCCCGAAGGAGAGGUGGCCGCUCAGGGGCCCUGAGAAGCAGCAGCGACUCCGCCGCCUUGCGUGGACAUCGAGGCUGCAGGCACCCUGACGCUGAAGAAGGUAUCCCUCCCUCUUCACCAGCCUCUGGAGGCCCGGAGACCGUCCGUCAACCUCCCCUCAACCUCCUGGGUGUCAGACCUACUGUGGACUGUCCUGCCGGCUUGUGGAGAAGGGGGAAGACACUUGUGUGAAGCUCCUGAGAACUCAGUACACGUAAGUUACCUUUCCCUGUGCCCCCUUCACCCCGGAGCAGACGUGUGAGGGGCUUUGUCCACCUGCCUGGCUGGACCGUACGUUCUUGGUUGGUGCCCACUGACUCAAUACACAGUGCUACCUGGAGCAGGAUUUUCCCUUUCCAAUUCCUUGAUGGCGCUUGCCCCGCGCGGCUGUCUCGCCAGCUCUCUGCUGCCCUCGUGUGGCCACCCUGACCCCUGGCCAUUCCCGAUCCUCUGCUCCCUCGGUGUGGUCGCUUUGCCGUAAUGCAGCCUCUUCCCGGCGUCUGGGCCCAAAGUGGCUCCUCUGCCCUCCGUGUUUCAGGCACACGCAUCAAACACAUCCGAGGCGAACCUCAGCCCUCUCUGGUCAGGUGACGUUAUCUCGGUUCUUUCCACAUCCCUUCGAGUACGCGGCCCAUCUGUAAGAGGCUCUGGGGGAGCCGCGGUGAGGGCUUGUGUGCCAGCAAGGCCUCGUCAGGCUUCCGGUCCCACAGUCUGUUGCUUUGCACGACGGCAGGUUCUCUGACCCACGGGUGCUGAGAGCAGUAUGUUGCCGGGGGGGCGUUUAAUCAUAGAUCUCCCCUCUUUUUUGCCCUUAAAUUCGGAUCUCUUUGAGUCAGUGAAGGAAAAUGCAACUAUUCUUGCGUUGCCCAGGGUAAUGGGGGACCUUGGAUAGACCCAGAGCGCCAGGACUAUGGCGUGAAGACAAGAAAAAGGGUCUGUGGGCUAGCGCCUUCGAAUCGCGUAGCUUGUCUGGCGAGGGGGACGGAGGGUUCAGGAUACAGUAAGUGCGCUGUUCUGUUUGAAAAACUUUGUGGGUGAGACUAAAGGGAGAAAUGCAUUUGGUGACCUGGCUCUAAACUAGAUUUGAGAGGGUGGGACUUGCAUACCAGAUGCCGAAGAGUCUUAUCUUUCUCCCAAUGUCAGUGAGAAAAAUUUUGUGGCAGGAUGUUAUGUGAUUG